rnacentral:lncRNA from 1 species
UUUGAACACACAAAUCUUCUAACUGGGCUAGUUUAGGACACGCUAUCAAAAGAACAUUGACACUUUGUUUACAGUUUUAUAGGGGACGAGAUCUGUUUUAUUUUCAUAUAAUACUUGGUUGCUUACUUUGAUACACAGGAAUAAUAAAGUUUUUAAGUAUGUGUUAAACAGAGCCUGGUAUUAAACAACUUAUGUCGACAUCUGGCUGGAGAGCAUCACCUGCGGUAUAUGCUGCUGAUGGGAGAAGGUGUCCCUUUCGUACUGAGAAGUCUGAUGAACAGAGAAGUCAAUACCUGUAAGAAAUCAUUGUACUGACAUUUUGUCAGCAAAGGAGCACGAUCUGAGAGAACUGUUUAAACACGACAGCCAGUUUAAGAAACUCUUCCCGUCAAAAGGGCAUGUGAACACGGAGCUAGAAUCCUGGGACAUUGGUUUACUGUCGCAGAUUCUUUUGGAUAUUUUCGGACAAGACUUGACGCUUCAUGAACGUGUGCAGGUGAAGUCGUUUGGUUAUUCCAGGACAGACUUGAUACAUAGGUAUCUAGCUGUCUAUGAAGAGCAUGAAUUUACACGUGAUAUGUCAGAUUUGGUGGUCGUUUUGCUGCGGCUGUCUGCAGGCAUAGAUCAGCAAACGUAUGACAAAUGCCAGGAUCUGGUGAAAGAUUCCGCAAGUCUAGACAUUCCUGAACUCAUGGUUCGACUGAGGGCUUGUCACGAGUACGAUAACAAGAUGGUCGCGGAAAUAGAUGGCAGCUGUCAAAGCGAAGAGGCUUAAGAACUGAACCAAAGAAAACAAACUCAAUUGAUUUAUUAAAAGAGUAUGAGUUUUCGUUGCGAAGAUUUGAAGAAUCGUUGACGAAACCAAGACUCAAAGAGAUAGACUUCGCAUAUGCACAAACGAUUGACAGCCGAAUAGAAAUUCGAGCACAGACGGCAGAAAAUGUUACGAAAGGGACCAUUCUCCUAAUGAAUGCUUUUCACAUACUCCUUGGCCAGAUUGCUGAAAAAGGACCAAAUAAUGUAAGGGUAGUCAGCGACAAGAUUCUCAACGCCACACGAACGGUUACCAACCUGAUACAGAGUAUUGACGGUGCAUCCAUUUUCGAGGUGCUAUACAACCAUGUUCUCCUCAACAUCAAAUGUUCAAGUUCCCGCGCAAUGAAAAAGGUAUUAAAGAAGCUGCUUGGGCCUGAAUUCAAGGCGGCACUUGCAGACCUCGCGGAAACUCUGAAAGACGAACUAGGCGCAACAAUCCAUGUGAAAGGGCAUGUUAUGGAAUUCAUGCAUCUUAGAAACAGAGGAUCAUUUGCGUAAGUACAUGAUAUAAUAAAAUUGUCUGCUGUUUGGUAGUUAACAAAAGGAAGGGUUCAAUAGUCUCAUCUAAGCAUAAAAUUCUGCAUUCCAGUACAAUGCUACAUUUGCUAUCUUAACUUUUAGCAAGACUGUUUACAUUAAACUGAUAGCAUUAAUACAUGUACUUAGAUUGCUAUGCUAACAUUUAGCAAGCAUUUUUAUGCUUUGUAGGUGUAGCAACGGACUAAUAGUGGGGACAUACGAUGACUUGAGCUGUAAAGCCGGGCAUAAACACCCAAUUGUGAUGUUUUGCAAUGACGAUGAACAGUUUUGUUGCCAUAUCUGCGCAUUACGUCAUCACAGAGCGUGCCCAGGACUACGACAAACAACUCAAGCUGAGAAAAUCAACUAUGCGAAAAAAGAUGUCAAAGAAUACAGUGCCAGGGUGGAACUUGAUGAUGCUGUUUGCUGGAUAAAUGGCAUUUGUGCCUUACCAAAUGGCAGUUUCCUGUUUACAGAUGAAAACAAUAAGCGCCUAAGAAAAUUGACAGUGCAUUUAAUGUUGUCACACAAAUCGAGCUUCCGAAUGCCCCGUAUGAUGUUUGCUUCAUGGAAAACGACCAAGCAGCCGUUGGACUAUGGGGGAAAACUGUUCAGAUAAUGAAUGUGAAGGAGCAUCUUACGGUAGAAAAUACCUUUGAACUGGAACAUUCCAUUCUGGGUCUUAUCUACAGCAAGAAAAAGUUCUAUGUCACUGACGAAGGAUUUGUGUAUACCUAUAACAUUGAUGGCUCGGGAAAGCAUCUUUUGUACAAAUCAAAUGCAGAACUGGUGUGUUUCUCCAAGAUGUGUUUAGUGCAGAUGGGGAGAAGAUAUUCAUAGUUGACGGUUACGGAGGUCUUGAAACAAUUGACCGGAAGGGUAACCAUCUGUUCACCUUGCGCGAAGAGGAGCUAAAGAUGUCAAGGGGAAUAAGUUUAUCCAUGGAUAAAACUCUCCUUGUAUGCGAGUACGAGUACAGUACAGUUUUGCACAUAGAUGCCGAUGGGGAAAGGGUUCUUGGAACGGUUCUCGACAAACUAAAUGGCGUGAACAGGCCAUCAGCACUAUGUUUUGACAAGAAGAGAUCAAAAUUGAUUGUCUGUCAAAGAGAUAAAUACGAAUUUCUUGUGUAUGACCUUGAAUAGAUUGAUUUUGUUUUGUUUGAAUCAUGUGCAGGGUUUUGUAAGGUCCUUUGCUUUUCUAGUAUUAUAUGUAUGUUUCGCCGUAAGUUUAUUUCCAUGAAUAUUUACUGAUAGAAUGUCUUGUAAUAAUAAUCAAUUAGAAAAUAAGAAUGACAAGAUUAAAUGGUAUUUGGUUCAGUCUGACAAAUUUACUUAGACGACAAAGCAUGUAGCAUUCCUUGAACUUCGAAAUGGCAAGUAAUGAUUUGAAAAUGUAACAAUUUUUUGAUAUUGUCUUCUCCUAGAACUAUGUUGACUUAAGUGUUAAGGAAGUCGGAUUAAUAACAUUGUUUAAAUAACAUUGCCACCCUCUACCAUCCCACCCUUUUGAACAAUAACAGCUCGAGGAAGAUAUUUAAACGAAGCCCUCGUUACAUCCGGAUUUAAAACAUCAUUCUUAUCAUGCGCACUUGCAUUACUACAAUUCGCCAGAUUGUAACAAUAUAUAGGUCAACUAGUUUUUUUUUAUAUCUAAAUUCAAAUUGUUAAAGCUUAGUCGGCGGUUAAAGUAAGUUAAAAUAAGUUACAAAAUGAUACCAUAAUAUCUGUAAUAAUAGAAACGAUAAUAUCUGUGAUAAAAGACGUUUUAUUAUAUUUUCACAUCAUUUUGCAUCGUUUUGUCCUUUCUAUUUUUCUAUAUAAUAUAAUAAUUCCGCAUUAGUCACUGCCGAGGUGACAGGGUUGUUGCAUAUUUCAUGAGACUCAGACAUCAGUGUCUGCUAUUAUUUUGCUUAGUUGCGAUCUUCUAGUAGAUCGUAUUGUUUGUAAAGGCAUUAGUGUCUUCCUUAUUUAGUUCAGAUAUUUCCCAGUAAAUUCAUGUAUAUUACUGUAAAUAUAUACAACUAUGAAAGUAGGUAGUCUAUAUAUUCAGCUUUGUUUCAGUGUAUAUAUGAGUGUUUCUUCUUGUUACAAGAUGCGACUCAACCCGUUUUCUUUUAUCCUGCACGCUUAAACUUAUUAUACAUGUCUACUAUUAUAUACAAUGAUAAUGCGUAUAUUAGAACUGUAUUUAUUUAGGAGAGAAAAUAAAUAAAAACGUAUUCAAAUGUUG